rnacentral:rRNA from 1 species
UACGUGGGGGGCAAGCGUUGUCCGGAAUCAUUGGGCGUAAAGAGCGUGUAGGCGGCCCGAUAAGUCCGCUGUGAAAGUCCAGGGCUCAACCCUGGAAUGCCGGUGGAUACUGUCGGGCUCGAAUCCGGAAGAGGUGAGUGGAAUUCCUGGUGUAGCGGUGAAAUGCGCAGAUAUCAGGAGGAACACCAAUGGCGAAGGCAGCUCACUGGGACGGUAUUGACGCUGAGACGCGAAAGCGUGGGGAGCAAACAGG